AUACGGAGGAUGCAAGCGUUAUCCGGAUUUAUUGGGUUUAAAGGGAGCGUAGGCGGGAGCUUAAGUCAGCGGUUAAAUGGUGCGGCUCAACCGUGCCCUGCCGUUGAAACUGGGUUUCUUGAGAGUGCAAGAGGCGGAUGGAAUUCAUGGUGUAGCGGUGAAAUGCUUAGAUAUCAUGAAGAACUCCGAUUGCGAAGGCAGUCCGCUGGGGCACGUCUGACGCUGAUGCUCGAAGGUGCGGGAAUCAAACAGGAUUUGAUACCCUGGUAGUCCGCACGGUAAACGAUGAUUACCCGCUGUCGGCGGUAGACAGUCGGCGGCCAAGCGAAAGCGAUAAGUAAUCCACCUGGGGAGUACGCCGGCAACGGUGAAACUCAAAUGAAUUGACGGGG
rnacentral:rRNA from 1 species